rnacentral:rRNA from 1 species
AACGAACGCUGGCGGCAUGCCUAACACAUGCAAGUCGAACGAGACCUUCGGGUCUAGUUGCGCACGGGUGCGUAACGCGUGGGAACCUGCCCUUAGGUUCGGAAUAACUCCCCGAAAGGGGUGCUAAUACCGGAUAAUGUCUUCGGACCAAAGAUUUAUCGCCUUUGGAUGGGCCCGCGUUGGAUUAGCUAGUUGGUAGGGUAAAAGCCUACCAAGGCGACGAUCCAUAGCUGGUCUGAGAGGAUGAUCAGCCACACUGGGACUGAGACACGGCCCAGACUCCUACGGGAGGCAGCAGUGGGGAAUAUUGGAAAAUGGGCGAAAGCCUGAUCCAGCAAUGCCGCGUGAGUGAUGAAGGCCUUAGGGUUGUAAAGCUCUUUUACCCGGGAUGAUAAUGACAGUACCGGGAGAAUAAGCUCCGGCUAACUCCGUG